UAAGGAAUAUUGGUCAAUGGACGCAAGUCUGAACCAGCCAUGCCGCGUGGAGGAUGAAGGUCCUCUGGAUUGUAAACUUCUUUUAUCUGGGACGAAAAAGGGCCUUUCCAGGCCAACUGACGGUACCAGAUGAAUAAGCACCGGCUAACUCCGUGCCAGCAGCCGCGGUAAUACGGAGGGUGCAAGCGUUAUCCGGAUUCACUGGGUUUAAAGGGUGCGUAGGUGGAUUGGUAAGUCCGUGGUGAAAUCUCUGAGCUUAACUCAGAAACUGCCAUGGAUACUAUCAGUCUUGAAUACCGUGGAGGUCAGUAGAAUAUGUCAUGUAGCGGUGAAAUGCUUAGAUAUGACAUAGAAUACCAAUUGCGAAGGCAGCUGGCUACACGAGCAUUGACACUCAGGCACGAAAGCGUGGGGAUCAAACAG
rnacentral:rRNA from 1 species